GGUCAACUUCGAAUGUCUACGUGAAUCUGACAGUAACUAGAUCCUGAAUUUAAGGCGCCCCGGUGGUCCCGGUCGCCUAAGGUGGACUGGAUGACUGAGCGGUGACCUCUCCAUCUGCCAGGAUGCUAUAUGAACGCAACAGGAACGAUCACAACGACAGAAACUCGGCUCUCGCCGAACGUCAGUUAAUAUG